rnacentral:rRNA from 1 species
GAUGAACGCUGGCGGCGUGCCUAAUACAUGCAAGUCGAGCGAAUGGAUUGAGAGCUUGCUCUUAUGAAGUUAGCGGCGGACGGGUGAGUAACACGUGGGUAACCUGCCCAUAGGACUGGGAUAACUCCGGGAAACCGGGGCUAAUACCGGAUAACAUUUUGAACCGCAUGGUUCGAAAUUGAAAGGCGGCCUCGGCUGUCACUUAUGGAUGGACCCGCGUCGCAUUAGCUAGUUGGUGAGGUAACGGCUCACCAAGGCAACGAUGCGUAGCCGACCUGAGAGGGUGAUCGGCCACACUGGGACUGAGACACGGCCCAGACUCCUACGGGAGGCAGCAGUAGGGAAUCUUCCGCAAUGGACGAAAGUCUGACGGAGCAACGCCGCGUGAGUGAUGAAGGCUUUCGGGUCGUAAAACUCUGUUGUUAGGGAAGAACAAGUGCUAGUUGAAUAAGCUGGCACCUUGACGGUACCUAACCAGAAAGCCACGGCUAACUACGUGCCAGCAGCCGCCGUAA